rnacentral:tRNA from 1 species
UUCAAUUCCUCUAAUUAGCA